GUUUGUCUCCCCACAAUUCCAAUUGAUUCACUUUAUGCGGUGAAUAAGUGGUGCUAUGCAACCCGGUUUUAGUUUGUUUUCCUGCAAAAUAGCCCAACUCACGGAGGACCUGGCCUUUGACAUGGCCUUUGUUCAUCCAUCUCAUUAUCUAUCCUAGCCGUAAACCUCCCACACGCCACAACACCACCUCCAAAGCUCGAAACCGCUCCACCGGCCAAAUGGUCCCGCUUGGGCGCCUUCCGGCGCUGCCGCUAGCGCGUGGCUCCACGCGCCGCCGCCUCCUCGCCGCCGGGGCCUCUGCCGCCUCACCGCUCCCAUGGCCGGGCCUUCACACCUGGCGCCGGGCCCCUCCCAGCGACCUCCGCUCGUGGGGCCCCAACGGCCCCUGCGUCCCGAACACGGACAAGGCGGGCGCGCCAGAAGCCGGCGCCGGAGUCGGCGACGGCUCGUCCUUGGCCGAGAUGGGCGCCCUCGUGCUGUCCACCGCCGACCCCCUCGCCAAGGCGCACCUCACCCACGCCGCCUUCUCCCGGUGGGCGGCAGGCGGGCUCCCCGUGGGCCUCGCCCGGGCCCCGGACCACCCCGCCAGGCCGGAAAAGCCCCUCGCGGUGACUCAGAAGGAGGUCCCCACGCACAAGGCGAUGGGGGUACCGCUAAACGCGUACAUGCUCCACAACCUGGCGCAUGUCGAGCUCAAUGCGAUCGACCUUGCUUGGGACACUGUGGUGCGGUUCUCGCCGCUCCGGGACACCCUGGGAGAUGGCUUCUUUGCGCGUGUGGCUGACGAUGAGAGCCGGCAUUUUCGGUGGUAUUCACAGCGGCUUGCCGAGCUUGGCUUCAGAUAUGGUGAUAUGCCUGUCCACAAUCUUCUGUGGAGGGAGUGUGCAAAAUCCUCAAGUGAUGUUUCUGCACGGAUGGCAGUUAUACCUCUAGUACAGGAAGCUAGAGGCCUUGAUGCUGGACCGAGACUAGUCCAAAAGUUAAUUGGCUUUGCGGACCAUAGAUCUGCAGACAUUGUGGCAAAAGUAGCAGAGGAAGAGCUUGCACAUGUUUCUGUAGGUUUAUAUUGGUUUCUGAAAGUGUGCGAAAUGAUGGGCCGUGUCCCUGGUGCUGCUUUUAGAGAUCUGAUAAAGGAGCAUGAUGUUGUAAUGAGGGGUCCAUUUAACUAUCAGUCUCGUGAUGAAGCUGGUAUACCUCGAGAAUGGUAUGAUGAGAUGCUUAAACCUGAAGUUGCAAGCAACCUUUCAGAGGUGCAUGAUAGGCUAGCAUGUGUUAUUGAGAUGGAGAAAGAGAAUGCUAAUUUGAAUGGCUAAAAUCUCACCUGACGAAUACUUGAGAGACUUGGUAGGUACUACACAGAUAUUCUAGCACACUGAUACCUUUUUCUUGGUUUAUUUUGAUGCCAACCGCCACCAAGCUGCUUACAUCCCUGACUAACCUUGGUUAGGAAACAAACCUCACUAAGUGUUCAAGUUGUUGACAGUGGGGUCCUGCCUGCCAGUUGGCUUCACAAGCCAGGGAUUAGGGACGCACAAAGUUUCCUUAGCCUCAAAUUUUUUGAUGGGCCAUAACCCAUAAUUAGGAAAGUUGGGCAGGGGUAUCCCCUGCCCCAUCCUAGUUAUUUUGCUUCACAAGUCACAACUAAUACAAGGACUAUGGACAGCAAUUAGCAGGAAGUAUACUACCAAUUGAAUGAAAUGGACGGAUGUAUUGAUUGAGCCACUUUCAUCCCCUUUGCCAGAAUAGCGAUCCUGAAAAAAUUAGUCUAAUAUACACCUGGUCAAACGUCAAGGACAAAAUGUACUUGUAUAUUCUUUUUUAUGUAUAUACGCAUUCCACAA